CUCAUUCAUGGGACUGAGUACCUGCACGUAAUGCAAGUGUUCCUCAUGUGUUUUCCUGAAUAUUGUCAUCAUUUUCAAAUGGGUCAAUGUCAAUCAAGAGUGAAAGAUGGAAAACUGGGAUAGGAAAAACCAGAACAGGGUUUUAAAGGGUUGGUGAUGGAAAUCCAAAACAAUAGAGAAGUGAUGGGGUGGGAUUCUCUACAUGGGUCCAUAAAGGAGCUAAGUGGCUUUUGUAACUGACCCAGAGGAGGGCUGGCUCUUCCACCCCAGACUUCAGCAAACCCAAGCAAUAGUGAUAUCAGUGGCCCAAGCUGAGGAGCUUUCAUAAAAAUAUGUUCUCCCUCACCCUUUCUUAUUGUUGUAAUUCUUCGCACAGGCUGCACAUUAUGUCUAUAUGCUUCUGAACGAAGCAGGGUUUUCAGGGUGUUGCACCAGGUCAGUCCCUCACUCUCACUAGCCAAUGCGUAUCUCCACUUCUCUUGCAGCUGCAGUGGUUGUCUUCUGUCCAAAGUCCUUGAGUCUCAUCAUACAGAAGGGUACUCUUUUUCACCCAGAUUAAGGGAACUUUGCAGUGCCGUGGCUUUGGGGGUGAGCACUGCUGUCAACAGUCCGGUUGUUCGCCUUGUUCCAGCCUGCAAGAUGACCGAGGGCCACAGUAUCAGAACUGAGGAGCAGGUUGCAGUCGUGACUUUGAUACUGCAGUCCCCCGAACCCCAGAGGGUUUUGCCGGUGCGGUGCCCUGGGACAGCCCCGGGGGCAGCCGGCGGCGUCACCUUGGACAGCACCGGGAGAGCGCGGAUUGAUGGCGGUCCCGGUCCCCUCGCCCGCAGCCGGCGUCAAAGCAACACGGAGACCCAAGAGAAGGUCUCUUGGAAGAGGAGCAGAGCCGGCUGAUGAUACUUUUUCAGCAGUAGAAGCAGCAGCUUUUCUGGGCUUGAUCCCCACAAUGCUGACUGCCCCUGGCUUCUCCUGCUGUCACCUGGAAUGGGGUGAGCUGCACCUUGUGGGGUCAGGACCUCUUGAGGGGGUGGUAAGGGAGCUGCUGGGUGCUCCUGCUCUCACCUAUAGUGCAAUGGUGGCAACACUAGGACCCCGGGUAACUGGACGUGGAGGCAGCCAGCUGGGCCUUGCAAGGGAACUGGCUCCUUUUUACUGGAGAAUGACUGCACAGCAGUAAUUAUAGAUUCAAUAAUUCCUCCACUAUCUUCAGCUUCAUUUAAUUCCCCCCUUAACAGAUGUCUGCUACGGAGGAGAAGAAAAGAGAAGAGCUUUUCUGUUACAGGGAUUUUUUGGGCACCUUAAGCAAUGGCUAUAAAGUAGAGGAGGUGGAUUGCAACCCAACACGAUCACAUCUCUCUCCAGAGUCCUUCUCUUUGUUCUUAAUCUCAUUUGACUGGUAACUGCUCAACAGCAAUAAGAAAAGCAUUUGAAACAUCCUAUCGAUCCAGCACAGAUUUUUAACACAGGCCAGUCCAAUUAGACUGUUGUGGGUGGCCAAAAUAAGAUCCCCAUGCUCUUGAUAAGUCACAUGAAUAAAGUACUGGAUGGUCACGUUGUAGUGAGCAAUUUGAAACUGAGAGCAGGAAAGUUUCUAGCCUCAGUUUCUGUCUAGAAAAGCAGACAACAGGGAAAGGAUCUG
rnacentral:lncRNA from 1 species